rnacentral:lncRNA from 1 species
UCCUCCCACCUCGGCCUCUCAAAGUGCUGGGAUUACAGGCAUGAGUCACCACACCUGGCCUUCACAAUUAAAAAUUAAAUAAACUUGUGUAAAUGAACUUCCCAUUUCAGGUGAUAUAUUAGAUUUUGAGAAGUAGAAUUUAUGGGGAUGAGGUCCUGAGAUUUUUGUUUUUAUGAGGCAACGUCUCACUCUUGCCCGGGCUGGAGUGCAGUGGUGUGAUCAUAGCUCACUGCAGCCUCCAGCUCCUGGGUUCAAGUGAUCCUCCUGCCUCAGCUUCCCAAGUAGCUGGGACUACAGGCACGCUACCACACCUGGCUAAUUUGUAAUAUAUUUUGUAGAGGUAGGGUCUUGCUAUUUUACCCAGGCUGGUCCCAAAUUCCUGGCCCCAAGCAAUUCUCCUGCCUUGGCCUCCCAAAGUGCUUGGAUGAGGUGUGAGCCACCGUGCCCAGCCCCAAGAUCCUGAGACUUAAGGCUUCAUUGGGUCUUUCCAGGUCAUGAUGGCCCAGGCCCCAGGAGACAGUCUGAGGCCAAGUGCUCCUGACAUGGAGGACUUCGGCCUGGUGAAGCCACCUCACCCACCAGCCCAUGUUGCUGUGAAGAGGAAGCGAGUCCUUUGGGAGAGCCAAGAGGAAUCCCAGGACCUCACGCCAACUGUGCCCUGGCAGGAGAUCUUGGGGCAGCCUCCCACCCUGGGAACCACCCAGGAAGAGUGGCUCGUCUGGCUCCGGUUCCACAAGAAGAAGUGGCAGCUGCAGGCCCGGCAGCGCCUUGCCCGCAGGAAGAGGCAGUGUCUGGAGUCAGCAGAGGGCGUCCUGAGGCCUGGGGCCAUCCAAGAUCAGCGAGACCAGCCAACCCGGCCUGUUCGGGCUGUGGGCGCUCAUUGGCAGUGACUUGCACUGCAUCAGGCUGAGCAUCCCCCGUGUGUUCUACGUGAACCAGCGAGUUGCCAAAGCGGAGGAGGGUGCCUCGUAUCGCAAGGUAGGGAGGCAGCUGGUGCUGGCCUCUGCAGUCAUCUGCCUGGGCAGCUUCUGAGGUGGUGUUCCAUGAUCUGGUGUGGCCUUGUGCCUCCAUCUCCUCAGUGCUUCAUUGGGAUGUUGUAGGAGUUCCUCAAAACAACAUGUGUGAGCACUGAGUACAGAGCCUGGGGCG